GACGAACGCUGGCGGCGUGCUUAACACAUGCAAGUCGAGCGGAGCGGCGAACGGGUGAGUAACGCGUGAGUAACUGCCCCCCUCUCUGGGAUAACAGUUGGAAACGGCUGCUAAUACCGGAUAGUGGGGGAUGACUCGCGUCCUAUCAGCUUGUUGGUGGGGUAGUGGCCUACCAAGGCGACGACGGGUAGCCGGCCUGAGAGGGCGACCGGCCACAUUGGGAUGAGGUACGGGCCAAACGUCGACGGGAGGCAGCAGUGGGGAAUAUUGCACAAUGGGGGAAACCCUGGUGCAGCAACGCGCGGGCGGGAUGAGGGGCUUCGGGGUGGAAACCGCUUUCAGCCAUGACGCGGUAGUGGCAGAAGAAGCACCGGCUAACUACGUGCCAGCAGCCGGGGUAAUUC
rnacentral:rRNA from 1 species